GACAGAGGUUGCAAACGUUGUUCGGAAUCACUGGGCAUAAAGCGCACGUAGGCGGUCUGUUAAGUCAGGUGUGAAAGCCCCCGGCUCAACCGGGGAACAGCAUCUGAUACUGGCAGACUCGAGGAUGGUAGGGGUGAGUGGAACUCCAGGUGGAGCGGUGAAAUGCGUAGAUAUCUGGAGGAACACCGGUGGCGAAGGCGGCAUCCUGGACCGGCAUUGACGCUGAGGCGCGAAAGCCAGGGGAGCAAACGGG
rnacentral:rRNA from 1 species